CAAAACCCUUUUCUCUCAAAAUUUUUCAACCUCUUUUCCCUUUCAGUCGACUGAACCAAAAGGUUAUUCACUCUUUGCCUCCACGUUAUCAAAUCGGACCCUCCUAAAUCCCCAUCAGAGCUUCGAUUUCAACGAAUUCAACAAGGAUUCGAAGGCUCCUCAAGAAGAUAAGUAUUUUUGCUUCUGCUUAUUUUAUUUUUUACACACACAAAUAACAAAAAGCAAAGAACUCAAAGCAAAAUCUACAGAAAAAUGAGAUUUUAAAAUCACCUCUUGAACUGUUCCCGUUUUUCUAUUCAAACUUCUCUGUAUAGAUUUGUAUCCCCCCCUUUACAUUGUUUACAAAUGGUCUUUUAUAGCCGAAAACCCCCAAAAAAUGAAAAGAAAUUGAGACUCUCAUCAUCCCUCUUUUCUGUUAUCUCUUUGCUGUUAAUUAUCCUUGCUGUUAUUUGCUUUAGUUAUUAGUUCGUUUUGCAGGUGUGUAUGGCGUGGAGUGAAGCUGUUUGUGGGCGUGCUGGCGUGGAGGAGGCAGUUGGAGGCUACAGCAACUGAAGCUUUUAGGGUUUGCUGAGUAGUUUUUUUGGGGGGGGGGCUGGGAUUUGUGUUAUUUGUUGGGUCUGGUUUAUUCUUGGUUUUAGGGUUUACAAAUGGUCUUUUAUAGCCGAAAACCCCCAAAAAAUGAAAAGAAAUUGAGACUCUCAUCAUCCCUCUUUUCUGUUAUCUCUUUGCUGUUAAUUAUCCUUGCCGUUAUUUGCUGUAGUUAUUAGUUCGUUUUGCAGGUGUGUAUGGCGUGGAGUGAAGCUGUUUGUGGGCGUGCUGGCGUGGAGGAGGCAGUUGGAGGCUACAGCAACUGAAGCUUUUAGGGUCUUCUACAUAUACUUUAAACCCUUUUUUCAUUAUUAUUCACCUGGUGGAUGGGUCAAUCUGUAGCUAGAAAGAAAUUUAUAAUAGUUAUAUUGUCAAAAUGGUUUUACAAGUAAAUGCUUGAAUUAGAACUCAACAUUUUAAAGGUUGCUCAUAUAAGCGUCAAACCUUUUAAAAUGGUCAAAUAAGAAUUUAACAUUUACAGAAGUGCUCAAAUAAGGGCACUCUUUAGCUCAAUUUAUAGGAAAAUUUUGGUAAAUACUAACAUGUUUAAAAUAAAAUACAUAACACCUGAACUAGAUAUUGCUUGAAAAGAAAAGAAAGCAACUAGAGCAUAAUUUGAAAUCUGAUAUACAACUUUUGAGAAGCCCUUAUUUGAGCAAUUUUGAAAAAGUUUGACUCUUAUUUGAGCACUUUCGAAAAAGGUUAGGUUUUUAUUUAACCAUUUUAAAAAGUUGAUCCUUCAUUUGAGGACUUUUAUAAAUGUUGAGCCCUUAUGUAAUAACUUUGAAAAGUUUAGCUCUUAUGUGAGUAACUUCUAAAGAGUUAAACCCUAAUUUAUGCAUUUAGCAUUGGUUUUACUGAUAAUUUGAUAGAUAUAAAUGAUAAUUAAUCUCAUGAUGACAAUUUGCAACUAGCGGUUGCUAUGUAUUUGUGUUUAUAUGAAUCUUUGGGCCUAAAACAUACUUAGUUCAUGGUCUUGUCCCUUUGGAAUUAAAUAAACUCCGCAUCAUGAAAAGAAACUGUGAAGGUUUCAUAUGUGCAUCAAAUAUAACAAUAGAGUUAAAUAAAGUUUAAGAUGUAUAAUUAUGAAAGUUUGCAAAAUUAAAUUAGAUUUUAUAAUUGUUUAAUGCGUGAUUUGGAUUUAAAAUUUUGAAUUUGGGUUUCAAUUAUUAUGUAAAUGGUAAGAAUGAAGUGGAAAAGAGAAGGGCUUGUAUAAAAUUGUGAUUCUAUAUCAUUCUUAUCCCUUUCCAAUGAGAAAAUGACAAGUUAAAAUUUUUUUUUCCUGAUUUUCAGCUUUUUCCUCUUGAAAAAAUUUAAAUUCAACUAAAAAUGCUAAAAAUUAGGAAGAAAAAUCUGAUUUGUCAUUCUCUCAUUGAAAAGGGAUAAGAAUGACGUGAAAUCACAGUUUCGUACAAUCCUUUCUCCAAUAUAACUUAUAUUAGAAAAGUAUUAAAACAUGGAUUUAUCAAAUUAAAAUUUUCAAAUUCAUUACUAAACAAGCUUCUAACAAAUCCAUUGACAGGGGUGAAGCCAGAAAAUUUUUUAGGGGGGCCAGAUGAAAUUUUAAUUUUCUAUAGUUUAUAUCUUUAUAAUUUGUAAAGGAUUAAAUCAAAUUUUUAUAAUUUUAGGGGGGUAAAGUAUAAUUUUACUUUUACUAAUUUAAAAUUUUUAAAAAAAUUAAAGGGCCAAAAAUAUAAUUUUACAUUUUAGAGGGUCGAGGCCUAUGCCAGCCCCUCUAGCGACGCCCCUGUCCAUGGAUUUGAUAAAUGGUAAUGAACUUUAUAUUUCUAAAUAGUUUAUUACUCUUUUUUAAAUCCAAACUCAAACUCCAAAAUACUAAUUCCCAAACGCUUCCUAAAUGAAUUUUGAUAUAUAAAUAUUGAGCUUUUAGCGCUUUCAUAAUUUCGCAUAUGAGAUUAAGUAUUUGAUUCAAUUAUAUUUAUUAUUAUUAUAUAUAUAUAUAUUAUUUCCAAAAGACUUGAUAAUGAUAUAUUCUAAGAUUAUUGCUUGAUGAUGAAAUUAUUUACAUUAAAAAAUAAAGAUAGUUUAGAAUACAUCUAAUUAAGCUAGUUUUCUUUUAAAGAUAUAUUUAAAUUCUUAAACGUGCACAAUUUAUUAAAGAGAAGAAAAAAAGUACAAUAUUUAAGGAAUUGCUUAGCAUAUUUGCAUCCAUGAAAUCAUGCUAGUGGAACGUCAACAAAGCUACCAAGCAACAAAUUGAAAGGGUUGCGUACCAAAAUCACUAAUUUUUUUUUUUUUUUUGGAGGGACACUCACACGAUUGAUGUUGAAUGCUCACUUUAGUCUUUAUCUAUGAUGGAUGAGGAGGAUAAAAUGUCUUUUAGAAAAGCAUUAUAGAAGAUGAUCCACUUUUAUUCAUGUGAUGAAUCCAGGAUAAUAUAUCAUUUUAUUAGGCAAUCCCUUUAAAAAGUUAAGACUACUUUCUAUCUAAAUUAAAUUUCUGUUGGUGUUAACUUAUUUUUUUUAAAAAAGUUUUAAAUUUGAAUCAUCAUUAUAUUAAAUAGGAUUAAAAAAAUUCAUUUUAAAUAUAGUUUGAUUAAUUAACAGGAUGAAAUUAAAAUUUAUUCAACCAAACAUACUAAGAAUUAAAACCAAUUAAUUGAACUAAUUAGACUGGAUUAAAACCCACAUAUAUAGACCUACAUAUAUAAUUAAAUAUGAUAAGUCAAAGCCUUCCCCUUUAUUAACAGUACUAAGGCCUCGUUGACAUGUAAGGUACUCUUUUUUUAUUUUUUUAUAAUUUAAAGAACUAUUAAGGUACAUAUAAUGAAUGAAUUUUAAUAAGUACACAUUUUUAAUGUUGAAAGUAGGAGUAAGGAUUAACCUCCCAAGUAUCACAUAAACUUUUUUUCAUGAACAUGGAUAAUUUGGUAACAAACAUGCCACCAAAUUAUCCUGCUCUUGCAUUUCAGAUCGCUAAAUUAGGGUUCAAUCCUCUUUAAAUUGAUUUUCUCUUGUGUUCAACAACUUAAAUUCAAUUCUAUCUAUUGUGCCUUAUCAUUAACAUUAUGAUAAGUUAUGUCUUAUAGAAGUACUAUAUAAAGAGUUAUUGAUAUCUCAUUCCACUCAUUCUUAAUUUGUGGUAUAUCUUAUUUGAUUCAAAAAAGAAAACGUUUAUAAUAUAUGGUUGGCAUAUUUAACCAAAAAAAUUUUUAAAUACAUGAUUUUCAUCAUGCAUAACUAGAGAAAGGAAAAUCAUAAUAUGGCUUGAAAUAUAUAAAUUUAUUAAUCUAAAAAUUCUCACUUAUAAAAAUUCAACAUCUAGAUUAGAAUUGUCUAAAAUUGAUUCUGAAUUUAUCAAUUUCAAAUUGUUGACAUUUAAAUAAAGAAAAUUGAAGUCCAAAUCCUUAGUUGAGUUGCUUAAUCCAAGCAUAAGGUAAACCAUUUCGAUGGGUUUUUCUAAUAUGUUCAAUUGAGGUGGGCCUAAGUUCCUUCGCCCAAACUAAAUGCUAGUAAAAGGUUUAUUUUAUUUUUUUCGGUUUAAGUAUGGAUAUUUUAAUUGUGAUAAAAAAUAAAAAAUAAUUAUAAACAAAAUUUAAAUUUAAUUAUAUUAAACAAGUAUUACUUAAAUGCGUGUAUAUUUUAAGUCAAUAAAUUAAAACAAUAUUUUAGUAAAGAUUUGGAUUCUUUUUAACUCUUAAAAAGUUUGGUCUUCCAUUUAUUUUUCAAAAUAUUAAUUAAACAUAGGUGAAAGUUUUUUAAUUCACUUAGAAAAUUAAAAAAAAAUUUACAUUAUCAAUGUACCAAUCAAUUUGAUAAUACGUUCAAUUUACACGAUUAUUAUGUUUAAUUUUAAUAAUUUUUUUAGUGAAAUGUCAUUAAUUUUAAGCUUAUUAUUUGAUUUUUGAUUAGGUGCAAAAGCAAAAUCCGAAAAAUAGAAAAGAGUCAAAGAUAUGGGUUGUGUAAAAGUUUUGGGCCAAAAAAGAUAGUUAUUUUAAGAUUGUAAAAAUUAUACUUUUAAAUUUUUCAUUAUGAUAAUAUUUUAAUUUUCUAAUAUUUUAUCUUUUAAAUUUUUCGAAUAGCUCUUCAAUACUAGAUCAGAUUACAAAAUUUUAGUAAGACUAAACUUUUAUGCCAAUUGAGUCAAAAAAGUAGAUAUGAUUAGAACUCGCACUUAAAAACUUUCAUUUCGGUAUUUUUUUACUUCUCUGAUUUAGGAGAGGGACACCGUCUCAUAGAAAUCAGAUUUAAACGACUUGCAUGAUUGAAGUUGUUGAUUCGAGUUGGGCACUUAUAAUUCACGAAGCUAGCGAAGUGUUAAAUCGUGGAUAUGCAUUUUGUGGUUGUUCGUUUGGUAAGGGUUAGUUGUUAGGCAUUCCCGCAAUUAAUUUAGACACAGAAAGGUUGGUGGUCUGAGGCAUCAUUGACCACUAUAACCAACUUAUCGGUUGAAGGAAAAGAUUUGUUAUCAAGGAUCAGUUCAAAACAAGAGUCAGAAUUGAGCAUGAAGUUAGAAUAUUAUCACAUCGCUUUAUUCAAUCUAAUUUCGUUUCUGUUUAUCUUUACUAUUAUUUUGAUUUUAAUUAUUUUUUAUUUUAAUCAAAUUUAAUUCCCAUUUUUAUUUUAGCACAGAUCGUCAUACAUCGUGGGCACAACAGUUACCUAGCAUGUAAUUUUGUUAAAUCGAAUGACAAUUUUAGAUAUCCUAGUCUCUAUGGGAUUGACCCUACUCACUAUACUUCUAUUUAUUUACUAUUUAGGCAUAGAAAUUUUAUUUUAGGUGGACUUGACACCCAUCAAAAUUUGGGCUUGUUGUUAGGGAUUGAAAAAAUUCUAAUUUUUGUUAUUUUCUCUUUAUGAUUAGGUUAGAUCCAAGAGAACCACUAGAGUUUGACCCCAAAAUCAAGAAAAUCACUCGAGCAAUAUGUAGAGAAACAAUAAGACGGGACAAAUGGUCAGACGGGUCUGAAGUUUCAGACAACGAAAUCAAAGAAGGAGGUAGAGCAAUGACAAAAAUCGUUGACAAACUAUCUUUUUAACUAGAAGUCAUGGCUCAAAAUCGCACCAUUAGGCAAUUUACCGAGGCACUUGAUGAACAACAAUCGUUGGGUAUUGCUUACCUGACAGUAGAUGCAUCAUUUGAAUUAAAAUUAGGUUUGAUACACUUAUUAUCCACUUUUUAUGGUCUGCAAAACGAAAACCUACAUAAACAUCUAUAUGAUUUGCUUGAGUAUGAUUUCGCGCUUUCCUUUUUUUUCCAUGAUCCAAGACCAAAUUAAACUUUGCACUUUCAUUUUUCUUUUCUUUAUCCAACUCUGCUAGAGAGCAAUUAUUUUAUUUACCUCUAGGUUUAGUUAAUUAUUACAUCAAUCACUACAAGCAUCAAAUUAAUUGAUUUACUCAAUAAUUAAUUAAAUUCAAAUUAACUAUAAUUAAAAUAAAUGUAGAGGAGAAUACUUACUUUAUGACUAACUCCAUGAUUAAUUAACUAACCAACUAUAAUGAGAAUAAAUUAGAAGAAAACUUACCUACUUACAUAAGGUAAAACUUAAACUUAAAUUUUUAUAAUUUCAACUUAAAGCUUAGCAAUUGACAUGCUAUUGAGUUAUUAAAAGUUCCUUUUGGGGCAUUAAGGAUCUGUGGCCUAUUGAAUUAGAGAGGUGUCUCUCUUGCUGGCAUUUGGUCCCACCAAUGGGCCAACCAUAAUAAAUAUAUUGUUAUAUAUGGGGGAUAACAUAGAAUAUCCACAAAUAUUUGGAUCACGAUGAUACUGCUUUUCAAGGUAUUUUGAACCAUGCAAAUAUAAUAUGGUUAGGUAUUUUAGGGCUCCUCUAAAUCCUCGAUUAGUUCCAGUGCAGUGUGACAUGGUACAAAAUUACAGUUGGAUGGCAAAACUGUGAUGCAACUGAGGGGUGUAAUCACGCCAUUCUCAUUGCUUGUUUUUUUAUCCACAUAAUAUUUGAAAGCUGCAUUUGCAGUUUUUGGUUUUUUUUUUCCUCCUUCAUUUAUUAAUGAAUGGAAUAAAACAAUCCAAUGAUAGCCAAAAAAAUAUUUAUAUAUAUAAAUAAAUAAUUAUAAAUAAAUGUAAAAGUAAGAUAAUAUAUAUAAUUAAAAUAAGUUCAAAUCGGAAAAUUAAAUAAAAUAAUUUUGAAUAAAUUUAUUCAAAUUAAAUUUAAUAAAAAAUUAAAAUAUUAAACUCGUAAAAGUUUAAAUUUAAAAUAAUUCCGAUUUAAAAAUAGAUAAUAUCGAAAUUGAUCUAACUUAAAAAAACAAAACCUGAAAUCGUAAAAUUCAAUUUCUUCAAAAUCAAAACUUUUUUAAACAUAUACCUGUCGUAAUUUUUCAAAUAAAUUCCUCACUUUUAUAUUAUUCUCGUAUUUUCACAAACACGCAUAUACUGACAUGUAAUAUAUAUAUAUAUAUAAAUAAUAUUUUGAUAUCUUAAUUGUUUUUCCUAAUUUUGUUGACGUUAAAUGUGGUGUUGGAGAUUAAAGGUGAUUCAUAUAAAUGUGGUCUAGAGAGCUGUGCUGAGACUUCGAAAAAAGUAUCGGUAAUGUAGUAAUAUCUUGGAUUCUGAUGUAAAAAGUUAAAUACGGAAGUAUAUUUAAUAUUAAUGAUGUAUUAAAAUUUUUGAGUUUUGUGGUUUUGAUUUUCUAAAUUAGCAUAUAACUUUUUAAUAAUAUAAUUUUCUCUUGUUUUAUAAAAAAUUAAUGAAUGUUCAAUGUAUGUAUCAAUGUCACUUUUUUUUUAAGAUUUUAUUCGCCCCCACUUAUAUUUUGAUAGGCAAAAUAGUUACUAACAAAUGAACAUCGGAGAUACAAAGAACCCCAAUGACUAUCAGUGUUUUGUACAGAUGAAAAUGGUCCACUGAGCAUCGAGCGGAGCAUAACAAGAGUGUGAAAUUCUAUAAAAAAAAAAAACUUUUUGCAGUAAUUCUUUAUAGAGCAAUCAAGGAAUAUUAGAUGCAAGAGAUUAAAUUAAAGUUUUGUUUAUUAACUUUUGAUGUGUUUUUGUGUACCAAACAAAUGAACUGUAACUCUUAUUUAUAGGAGUUUUCAUGCCUCUUUAUAUAUCUAUCCAAAUGGAUCGCCACGUCUUUUAGCAAUAAAUAUAAUUAUUCAUUAGAUAUCUACUUAAAUAAUUAUGACUUUUUGUUAGUAAUUAAGUGACAACUCUUGACUAAUAACCAAGGGUGGAGCCAAAAUAUUUUGAUUGUAGGGUCCAAUUUCAAAAAAUUAAAACUUCUAAAAAAUUUAUAUAAAUUAAUGCAUAACACGAUUAAAUAUAAAAGUAUUACAAAACUAUUUAAAUAGUAACUAAAUAAAUCUAAGUCCUAAAUACAAAAAUAUUCAUGAAGUCAACCAUAACAGCCCGAUUUUGGGCCUAGUCAGAACAGUAAUUUCGGGACCAAAAAUCUGACAUGGUAAAAUUAUAUUUUACUAUAUUUUUAUGGUCUACAAUUUCAUGAGAUAAACUUGUGAAAAUUUUGUUUGAAAAUUUCGACGUUUGAGCACUCAAUUUAGUCAAAAGGACUAAAUCGUAAAAACUACAAAAGUUGAGUUCUACAUGCUAGAGGUGUCCAAUUGUUAUGAAACUUUAAAUUAGAGGUUCUUAUAUGGUAAUUAUACCAUUGGUUAAGUUGGUGGACAAAAAUGGAUAUGGUUAGGUGAAUUUUGAAAUAAAGGCAUUAAGGGCGUUUUAGUCAUUUGGUAAAUAAAUGAAUUAAAAAGGGAAAAUAAGCCAAAAUCCUUGUCCAUCUUCUACCUCCAGCCAAAAUUAGAAGAGAAGCCAUGGCUAGGGUUUUGUUCAAGCUUCCAAGCUCCAUAGUAAGUGCAUCCUAGCCCCGUGUUUAAUGUUCUUUACAUUUUUGAAGUCCUCGUAACCCGAUUUACCUAUUUCUACCAUUGAUUUGAAGUAGGGUUCAUGUUUAAAAAUUUACCCAUGUGUGACAUGUAUGUGUUUUGAUGUUUAAUGGAGGAAUAUGUAAGUUUGAUGUUAGAGAAACAACUUUUGCUAAGUAAUUUUCAGUAAAAAUGCAUAAAAGAACUAAAUUGUAAAAGUUAAGAAACUUGUUUAAAAAUCUAUUUUAAUGGAAAAUGUGGGCUGCUAUAAGUAUGAAAAUGAUUCGGCUAUGCAUGGGUAGUAAAAAAAAAUUAACAUAUUUCAUUUUUAAGAGCCUAAGGGCAAAAGUGUAAAUAUGUGAAACUUUAGGGGCAAAAACAUAAUUUUACCAUAAUGUGAUUUUUGGGUCACAUUGAAUAAUUUGACUAAUAAAUAAGUUAAAUGUGAUGUUAUAGAUUAAAGAAAACGAGGUUCGGACCUAGAACGGAGGAAAUAUGAGAAAUUGACGGUUUGGUCCUUUUUUGCCGUUUUUGGUAUCGAGGUAAGUUCAUGUGUAAAUAACUCAACAUUAUGUUGAUAUGUAUUUAAUACCUUGAUAUUGCUUGAAUUGUAUAAUUGUUUCUAUGAAAUUGAUUAAUGACGAUUUUGACAAAGUUUCAAGGAAUGGAAAGAAUACAAAUGUCAUGAUAUUAGGGUUACCGAGAUUCCGUAUAAGACCAAAUCUGGGAUAUGACAUCAGUAUGUGAUUUUGUAUAAGACUAUGUCAGGGACAUGGCGUCGAUAUGAUAUUUCAUGUAAGACCAUAUUCGAGAUAUGGCAUUGAUAUGGUACUAUAAGUAUGAGAUCCCCGAGUAUCCUCAGUAUUCCAAUGAGUUCAACGGGUAUGUUAAGAAUGAGAAAGUUUGUGACUAUGUUAGGAGUGGUAUAGGUAUGUAUGUAGAACUCAUGUGACGUGAAUUCGGUAUAUGAUGAAUUCUUAGUAAGAAUGUAUACGAAUAAGUUAUGCUUGCGAGAUAUUGAUAACCUUGUGAUUAGUGAUCCACAUUCAUGAUGAUUGGAUGCAUGAGAAGAAUUGAUAAUGAUCGUGUGAGAGGUUUGUGAGCCUAAUUGAUUUUUGAUAUAGUACGGUUCAUUUAUUUAAAUUGUGUUUCAUUGGAUAUGAGAAAAGGAAAGACCGGCAUAAUUGCCGAAUAAAUUCGUUAUGAGAAUUUAGUAAGAUACGAGUUUAGACAAGUGAAAGGUGAUUGAACUAUAUGUUGAAAUUAUGAUUACUCACAAAUAAUAUGCAUGUGAUUAAGAGGAUGGAAAUAACUUGUUAAUCAAUGUGAUAUGUUAUAAAGAAGAGCCCAUGAUGGCUAGGCUAAUGCCAAGGCAUGUAAAAGGUGCUUAGAAGUUAAAUGAGUAAGCACUAUGAAUGAAUAAGUGGAAACCAUGAGAUUUAAUGCAAAUAGUAAUAAUAGUAUUCUUACGAAUGAAUAAAGUAAAUGAAUGUUAAUAGUUGUUUAUUAUUUGCAUAUGUACUUACUAAGCUUUAAGCUUACUCCCACCUUCUUUCCCAUCUCUUAUAGGUUAAUUUAGCUAGCUCGGGUUGGAGACCGCCAAAGAUGCCAUCACAUUAUCAAGCUAUCACUACGGGUAUUGAUGAAUUCAAGUAGUUUGAGUCUAUGGCAUGUAUAGGGACUUUGUCUUUUGAGUAAUGAUGUCAUCAUUAAUGUGGCCAAAUGUGUUGACCUAGAAUAGCUUGUGGUCCAAUUUGUAUAAGGCCAUGAGAUGUGGCUCGUAUUGGUUAUUAGGUUGUAAGCCUAAUUGUUUAUGCAUGCAUGUGUCGAAGUCUUAGUGAUGUGGUUGCUUGAUGAUGAUGGAUGAUUUGAUAUGGCAUAUAGGUAUGAUGAAUGAAUGAUGACAAAUUGGUAUGGCUAUGAUCAUGGUUUAAAUGUGUGAAUUGAGAAUAGAUUAAUAGUAUUUGUAAUGGGCCUAUUUUGCCCGGGACCCAAAUUUGAAACAAUAAACCCAAUAAACCAAAAUAGUCCAAAGUCCAUUUACAUCAAAAGCCCAAACAGCCCAAAUUACAUUUAACCCAUGUUACAAACAAAACUAAAAUCCUUAACCCAAUUCAUAUUGGCCAAAUAGGCCCAAGAGACUAAACCAACUCAGAAACCCUAGGGUUUCUGAAUCAUCUUAGUGCCGCACCCCUAUGUGCCUCGUCGGUAAUUCCAACGCCCGAGGCUCGACUUUUCUUGUCCCGUUGCACCAAAAUGGAAGCCCUUCCUCGUUGACUUCCCUCUUAACCUGCAAACACACCAAAAAAGAAUGGGAAACAACAACACGCAAAGACAAACAGAAAAGAAAUGAAAAAAAAAAGAACUACCAUGUAAUCGGCUAUAAAAAGCCCCAAGUAUUAUCAAUGUAAUUUUUUUAUAGACAUUCGGAUUCAAAAAAUAUCAAUUGAAACAGAAGAAAAAUUUGCUAAAGGUGAUCUUUUAUUUUUCUUCCUUUUCAUUUUAAGUUUUUUUUUAAAACAACAAAGAAUAAAAAAAGGGAAAGGGGUUUACCUGAGUCCAUCGGCUUCCCUCCGAUGACCAUCACCGGUUCUUGGACUCCUCGUCACCCGUUGGGUUCCCGAUGAGGGUAAAAAAGGGGAAAAGAACCAGAAACCUCAUUUUUAUUUAUUUCUUUUCAUUUUCGUCGUUCUCUUCGGUUCGAAAACACCCAAAAUCGGGUUUGCAAAAAGAAGGGAAGUCUAAAGGGCCAGUUUGGUGCACCUCUAGCCAGUUUGAAAUAGGUUUAGUCCCUAUUUCGGUUUUUAUUAUUUAGCUUAUUACAAUUUAUACUCAAGUUUUGUUUAAAUUUUCAAUUUAAUCCCUUUUAUGGUUAUUCAUUCAUUUACUAUUAUUUAAGACUUUAAAUUUCAUUUUAAUUUCAGUUCACCCUUUUUUACUUUGUUUAAGUUUCAAUUAAGCUAUUUUUAUUUUAAUCAAUUUAUUUAUUUAUUUAUCUAUUUACUUGUUUACAUGUUUAUUAUUCCUUUAUUUUAUUUGUUUGUUCAUUUACUAACUUAUACAUAUACAUUAUUCAUUUGUAUUUUACUUUAAAUAUUAUUGUGUCUAUCUAUUUAUUGUUCUUUCAUUUAUUUUACUUCCUCAUUAAUCAUUUAUUUUAUUCAUACCUUUACUAUUAUUACUAUUUUAUUAUCUAUCAUUAUUAUUUUAUCUUUAUUUAUUCAUUUAUUUAUUUGUUCCCUUUUUAUAUAUUCUUUUAAAAUCGGAUUAUUUAUGUUUUACUAUAUGUAUUAUUAUUAUAUUAUUAUUAUUCACAGAUCUAUUUUUUAUCCUUUUUAUAUUUGUAUGUACAUCUUAAAAUUUAGAUUAUUUGUGUUUCUUUGCUAUAUGUAUUAUUCUUAUUAUUACUAUUAUUAUUCAUUGUCAUCAUCGUUUACAUACCUUAUUAUAAAUUGUACUCUUAAUUUCAUUCAUAUCUUAAUUUGGUCUUUGUAUUCUUGAUAUUCUUUACUUAUUUUCUUUAACAUUUAUUUAUCAUGACUAUUUAUUUAUCCCUUUACCCUUACAUUUUAUUAUUAUCAUUAUUAUUUUUACAAAAAAAAAUCUAAACUUGAUAGUAUGUACCUAUUUUACGUACUCAUUCGUUUUUUAUUCCAUGCAUUUUAAGUAUUUCUAUGUUAUGAUUGCUCGUCUUUAUAUCAUGCAUUUCUAUCUUAUCGCUUCACUUAUUCAUCGAGACUAGUCCACUAUUAUUGUAUUCAUCUUUAUAAUUGCAUCAUUGUUAUUGUAAUAUUUUUUCGCAUGUUGUAUAUCACUUCAAACAUUGCAUUAAUUUUCACCAAGAUUCAUAAAAAAAUGGAUUCUUUAACAAAUGCAAUAUUCUGUGUUUUAGAAAUUCAAGAGAUCGUGCCCUAACGUACUGGGUUUCGAUUUUUUUUCGUUUGAUCCAAAUAACCGAAUAACCUUUUAAAAUUAAAGUGCAUGAGUUUUAAAAAUCCAAAGACCAGCUUAUUCUCAAGGGUUUAAAGCGUUGUGUCCUAAUGUACUGGAUAUGACAUUUUAUUACUUCAGGACAAGAAGGUCUUUAAUAUCUGUUUCAAUUUAUCUAAACAUUUUGGCAAAAUUAACAUUAAUAAAAAGAGAGGGUCGUAUUUUUAAAUUCUUUACGGAUUUUCAAAUUUCGACAUUAAGAUAUUAAUUAAUCAAUUAGGUACCAAUUUUGGGCAUUACGAGGGUGCUAAUCCUUUCUCGUACAUAACCGACUCCUGAACCCAUUUUCUCGAAUUUCGUAGACCAAAAUCGCUAUUUUAGUAAAACAAAACAUUUUAUUAAAACGAUUAAAUUACGAGGUAGUCCAAUCACACUUAAACAAAAAAGAUUGGUGACGAUUCCCUAUUUUCAUUUUUUAAAAUCAAGCCGACCCGUUUUUCACGAAACAAAAAAUGGUUUCGACAAUAUUAAUUAGAUAUGAAAUUGGUGUGGAAUGCCUUAAGUAAGCUUGUUAACUUGAGUAUCUGAAAUGGUGACAUUAUAUAGGCAGAAUUAGUCUUGAUUAGGAAUGAAUGAUCGUCAAAAUGUGACAUGUAUGCCGUGAAAUAUGUCUAAGUAUGUGAGUAUCUAAGGGUGGCAAAAAGGCUUGGAAAAUAGAAUUACAGUUGUCCACACGGGUAGACACACGAGCAUGUGUCUAGGCCGUGUGUGACACACGAUCUGCCCCAUGGGCGUAUGAUCAGACCGUGUGUCCCCUGCACCCUAAUAAAUGCAUAACAUAAUGCUUAGUAGUAAACAUACGGGUAGAGAUACGACCGUAUGUCUCAGCCGUGUGAAGGACACGACCUCAUGACAUGGGCGUGUGCCCUGGCUGUGUGAAGUCUGCACUUGAUUUUUGGAAUUUAAUUUGCCACAUGGCCUAAGCACACGAGCGUAUGACUUGGCCGUGUGACCCUAUUUAGUUGAUGACGUCAUAAACUGAGAGUUACAUGGGCUGAUGACACAGGCAUGUCCCAAGUGAAACGGGCGUGUGUGACCAUAUGGCCUACCCACACCAGCGUAUGACUCCUAUUUUGAUGAAAAAUUUUCUAAGUGAUAUGAAAGUUCCGGAAGUUCUCGGUUCAGUCCCGAACCACACUCAAUGUAUAUUUUGGGCCUCGAGGGCCAUAUAAGGGACGACGUGCAUGUGAAUGAAAAGUUUUAAAUUUGGACGGAAAUUUCUGUCUCGAUUUUGUAUGAUGGUGUGAGUUUAUGUCCGGUAAUGCCUCGUACCCUGUUCCGGCAUCGAAUACGGGUAAGGGCUGUUACAAAUAGUGAUUUAUACAAGCUAAAUCUUCUAAUUAAUAGGGACAAAUAAAAUUAUUUUUUAUGCAUGCCAUUUUUAUCACUUCGAUUGAAAGAAUAUUUAAUUUUGCAAUUCUCAUAUAUAGUUACGAGAUAAAAUAUAAUUCCCUUCACAACAUAAAAGCUACUUAACUAUUUUUUGGUGCAAUGAGAAUGCAAUAUGUAAAGCAUAAGAUGAACACAAACACAAGAUGCAAAAAAUCACACUAGCAACAAUAAUUUUAAACAGAUAUGCUAAUUUUUAAUCUUUAUUCAAUAAAUACAAGAUUAUAUAGACAACCAAUCCUAAUUUCUUCUAAGAUUUGUAUUAAUGUUUUCUAAAAAUAUUUCAAGGAUUUGUAUUAAUGUUCUCUUAAAAAUAUAAAUCAAUCAAGAUAUUAGUAAUCUCAUACAAAGUCAAUAUGCCAAAAUCAUUUCAUCAAUAAAAACUUAGUCUCGCAUAAAAAUCCUAAUUUAUCACAAGUAAAAUCACAAUUUUAAUUUUUUUAGAUACUAAUUAACAAAGCUCGAAUAGAAAAAAAGAAUUACUAUCAAACUAUUAGGAAAAUAUACUUAAAAGUCUUCAAAGAUUGAUACUCUACCAUGUAAAACUUAUGGAGAGAGUGUGAAAAAAUAAUAAAAUUUUGAGGAAAAAAAUUAUGAAUGUUGAAAGAAAAUAAAAAAAAAAUUAAAGAUUUUUAGAUUUUAGUAUAUGUUUUUCAAAUAUUUUUGUGAGGGUCAAAAACUCAAUUUACUACUUAUAUUAUUCUUUUUAUAAGGUAUUUUUUUAAAUUAUUUUUGUAGGAUCAAUUAACCCCACAAUCCUAUAUGUGGUUUAGUUAUUGCUAAUAACCAAGUGACAUAAUUUUUGGACGACUUGUAACUUUUCAAUUGAAACUAUUAGAACAUUAUAUAUAUUUUAAAAAUGUUCCAUAUUGCACGUGGACUUGGAUAUGAUGAGAGGAGUUUUAAAUGAAUCUUGAUUUGCUCUGAUAACAGUCAAAGGACUAUUUAAAUUGAAUGUCAUUGAGAUUUUCACGAAUUUAUGGAAAUAUAAUCACAAUUCACAUCUUUAAAAUUCGAAUUUUGGUAUUCAUAUCUUUUAAAAUUUAAUUUUCUAAUUCUAUCUAUUACUUGUUAAGUACUUGAUUGCUCCCUAUAUGCCCAAUUUAUGUGGAUCGUCCAUAGUUUGUGGUUGAAGAUUAUAGGUUAAAAGGUUGAAGAGUUAGUAUUCCGAAACACAAAUAAGUUUUUCGUAUUUUUGUUUUACUCUUUUUACAAAGUCCAAUAGAGAAACAUCUUGAAAGUGAGAGUAUAAGAGCAAGAAGCUCAGUAGUUGACACUUCAUGCAGCUCUUUUCCAUAAUUGUUAUUAAUUACUCUACUCCUCCUUCAGGACUAGGCCACAACCUCUUAUACACUGGAUUGCCACCUGAGCUUUUGCUUCAAAGGAACUUUCAAUAAUUUGUGUGGCCUUUCGAAUUAUAGAGGUCUUUCUCUUAGCUGACAUUCGGUCCUAACCAUCAUAAAUACCUUCUCUUAUAUGGGUCCAUAGCAUAGACUAUCCACAAAUUCUUGGAUCAUCAUCAUUCUGCCUUUCCAGGUAUUUUCAGCCAUGAAAUUGUAAUAUUUCGUCACCCAACUACACUUUUUUUUCCACUAUGAUUAUGUAUUUAAAGUAUUAAAAAUACAUAUGUGCAAUAUGAUUUAUGAAUUUUAAUUUUAUAUAAGUUUUAUUUUGAGUUAAUUUUUAUAAACUAUUAAUAAUAUUAUCGUCAUAGUAUCAUUUUGCAAUUAUAUAUUGUAUAUACAAGCAAUUAGUAUAUAUAUAUAUUUUUUUAAAUUGUACAAUUGAAUUAAACUUAAAGUUCUAUUUAUAUAUAUAAAUCACAAUAAAAGUUUCACAUGUAUAAUUACACUAAAUCAAAAUUCAUGAAUCAUAAAUUUCUUCAAUUGAUUUUACAUUUUAUAUAACUUAUUUAUGUUAAUAGCUUGAAAAUAUAAAUAAGAUUAUUCUCUAUAUUACUAUUAAUUUGUUCAUUGAAAUAAAAUUGAGAAAUGGUUAAAAAAUAAAAAAAAUUAUAAAAACCAGUAACUUGUAUUAUAAUGGUAAUUUUUACUUUUGAAUUUUUUUUAAAACUAAUUCUUUAAAAAACUACUGGAAUUUUAUAAUGUAAUUUGAAAAUAAAUAAUUGCUUUCAUUAAGAAGAAGAAAAAUUAGUUUCUACUUCAUCAUUCUUUCACCCAUAUAAUAAAUAUCAUUUUAUCUAAAUUCUUUUUCUUAUUUUUCAUGUCCGUUUUAAAUAUCAUGUUUGAUAUUUAUAACUAUACCUUUCAACAAUACCGUCUCUAAUGUUUGAAUUUUACAACUUUUUCCUCCCAAAAGAUUAUGAUACUUUUCUUGAUAAUACAUGGAUCAAUCAUAAAAAAAGAGCACUAUACAUGUAUGUAUAUAUAUACUAUCGACACUGACGUAAAAGGGUGAUUGGUGUAAUGAUAUAUAUGGAUGAGAAUGAAGAACAUAAAUUGUCAAUGUGUUGGCUAUAAGCUGUCCAUCCAUAUAUUCUUUCUGUGGCAGACAGGCAAUGGGUACCAAACCAUCUUCAUGGCUUUAACCACUUUGGAAUAAUUAAAUGCAAUAAAUAACCCCCCACCCAUCUCUGCCCACGUACACUGCUAAUUCAUUGUGUAUAAAUAACACUAUAGCCCAAAGAUGAUGGUUCAAGGACUUAUAGCUAUAGAGGAAAAAUGAGAUCUAAGAUGAUGGGUUGUAGAGAGGAACAUCAGAGUACUCAUGGUUCAGUGCUGGGUGGGAAGCCUAACCAUUGUGUUAUUUAUCCACCAAAGUCUAGCAUUGUUGCUGAGGAAUUGGAAAGAAGAAACAAUGACUGGUUAAAUUCUUCUUCUUCUUCUUCUGGUACAUAUAGGUAUAUAUGGUGGUGUUUAUGUAGAGAUGAUAUUAAUAAGCUCCUGUUUUGAUUUCGUCUGACGCAGGUUUGUUAGGACCAAAGUUGCAAGUGAUUUAAAGGUGCAGGUUGGAGAUUUUAGCUUUUACUUACACAAGGUCAGCAACAACUAUAUACUUGUCUUUAUUAGUGAAGCAUGGGAUUAUUAUUAAUUUUGCCAGAUGGAAAUAAACUUAUUUUUGUAAAUUAUUAUAAAUUUGGGGAGGGGAUGGCUUACAUAAAAAUAUUUUUCAUAUAUUAUGUAGGGAAUCGUUUUACCAAAUAUUAUGCCUUUUGUUUCUGAUGGGAUAUAUGUGGACAGAUUUGUCAUUAUCAUGUUCAAAUUGUGCCCAACACAAAGGCCAACUGUAUUUUCGUAUUAUGUUUUAAUUUUUUUAUAAUUUACCAUAUUAAUUCAAUUUUAACUUCACAAUCAUUUAUGUGAAAUUAGUAAUUCAUUGCAUUUGUCAUAUCUUAAGAUAAUUUGCUAUUACAAUUUAUAAAUAAGUGAUCAUGUUGUGAUCCUCAGCUUGCUAUGGUUUCGAAAAGUGGAUAUUUGAAUAGACUUGUAUUUGCAAAAAGAAGUGAGGGACAUGGACAAAAUGGAGGCAACGUCAAGAUUGUGUUGGAUGACCUUCCUGGUGGAACCAACACCUUUGAAUCAAUUGUCAACUUCUGCUAUGGAUUUAAGGUGGAUGUAACAGCUACCACCAUUGCUCCACUCUAUUGUGCUGCAAAUUUCUUGGAAAUGAGUGAUGAUCUUCACCAAGGUAAUCUCAUUUCCAAAACAGAGGCGUUUUUGAGCUUUGCAAUUUUCUCAUCUUGGAAAGACACUUUUAAGGUACUCAAAAGCUGUGAAUCUGUGUCACCUUGGUCCAAAGAUUUGCUUAUUGUG
rnacentral:lncRNA from 1 species